rnacentral:tRNA from 1 species
GCCUAGCUAGUAUGGUGGCUAUGACCCUCGGAUUGUAACCGAGUGGGUUCGGGUUCGAUUCCCGAGUAAGCCA